AGUGAACGCUGGCGGUAGGCCUAACACAUGCAAGUCGAACGGCAGCACAGUAAGAGCUCGCUCUUACGGGUGGCGAGUGGCGGACGGGUGAGGAAUACAUCGGAAUCUACUUUUUCGUGGGGGAUAACGUAGGGAAACUUACGCUAAUACCGCAUACGACCUACGGGUGAAAGCAGGGGAUCUUCGGACCUUGCGCGAUUGAAUGAGCCGAUGUCGGAUUAGCUAGUUGGCGGGGUAAAGGCCCACCAAGGCGACGAUCCGUAGCUGGUCUGAGAGGAUGAUCAGCCACACUGGAACUGAGACACGGUCCAGACUCCUACGGGAGGCAGCAGUGGGGAAUAUUGGACAAUGGGCGCAAGCCUGAUCCAGCCAUACCGCGUGGGUGAAGAAGGCCUUCGGGUUGUAAAGCCCUUCUGUUGGGAAAGAAAAGCAGCAGGUUAAUACCCCGCUGUUCUGACGGUACCCAAAGAAUAAGCACCGGCUAACUUCGUG
rnacentral:rRNA from 1 species